CCCUUAGAUGUUCUGGGCCGCACGCGUGCUACACUGAGUGGAUCAGCGGGUCAGGUUGCGCGAAAGUGUUUCCUAAUCUUUAAAUCCGCUCGUGAUGGGGAUUGACGGUUGCAAUUUUCCGUCAUGAACGAGGAAUACCUUGUAAGCGCGGGUCAUCAUCCCGCGCUGAAUACGUCCCUGCCCUUUUUACACACCGCCCGUCGCUCCUACCGAUUGAGUGGUCCGGUGAGGCUUUGGGAUCUGAGCGGAAAGAGCGUUUCGCUGUUUCUGCCCGGAAAACUCAGUCGAACCUUAUCAUUUAGAGGAAGGAGAAGUCGUAACA
rnacentral:rRNA from 1 species